UCAAACCCCGAAUCGACUCAGUCUGGCCCUUCGAGAAGGUGAGCAUGAUGGCAAGAGGGCCUGGGUUACACCAGAGAGCCCAGGACCUCGGGAGAGGAUCCAGGGGCAGGUGGCACCUGUCUUCUUUAGCCUGGCUCAGGGAGGUGGGACAGACAGCAUCAGGAAUGGUCUUCUCUUUCUCUCCAGGUGGCUGAUGCCAUGAGGCAGAUGCAGGAGAAGAAAAACAUAGGCAAAGUCCUCUUGGUUCCUGGGCCUGAGAAGGAGACCUAGGGCCAGCGGCUGAGGGCCCUGGAGAGCCAGGAAGGGGGAAGAUGGGAAGUCCUGUUGUGUUGCCCACCAGCCUCUCACAUUUCAUCCUGUCAUGAUGCUCUACCCUCCCUCCCCAGAAAAGGUCUCUGUGCUGAUGACUGCUUCCCUGCUCUGAGCUUGCUCUUUGCUCAGGGGCCUCCCUCCCCCUUCCUUCCCUCGAGAGAGGUUGGGAAGUGACCACUUGGAUGUCUGAGCCCUGCUAAGGGGACAGGGAGGGUCAGCAGGAGGCUGGCUGCUUCCUGCCACCCCCCCUCUCCCGGGCCUGCCAUGCUGCUUUUGUGCCAAGGUUAGCCAGUCUGUCCCUGCCCUAUCCUGUGUGCUUCCCCCUUAGCCUCAUCUUCCCUCCUGCCCCACCCCCACCCAAAGAAUCUGUGUCAGCUCAGGAUGUGGGGCUAAUCUGUGUGAGUGAGUCCAGCAUGUACCCGUGCCUCGGUAGUAUUCAUGCAACCCAGGCCGACGAGGCCCACCCCAACCUUGUCUCCCGUCCCCAGUGUCGUAAGCACAAUUAGACUUCUUCCACCUCCAGUUUGCUGCCUCCUACCGCAAGGGCAGGAAUCAGACCGACUCCCUGGCUCACCGCUCUGGGAGGGGUACUGGGUACCCCACCCUUCACUGAGGUCUCUGGAUUUGUCUCAGUGCCUUAGCAUCAGAAAACCUGUGCUUGUGUGUGUGUGUGUAGCGGGCAGCCCUAUCUCUGGCUCCUUUUCCACCCUUCUCCCCAGUGCCUUCCUCGUCCUGGUGGAGCUGAGGCCUACUCCUCCCCAGUCCAACACUGCCAAAAAUCUGUGUAUGUGCCAGGGGUCGGGGGUAGGGAGUAGCUCUAACCUCUGGGGAUCAAUUGUUUUUACUGUGGUCUGGGGCCUGGCCUAUCUGUCAGUGGUGGAGAAUGAAGAGGCAGUAUACUGGAUCAGCCCGAGUUCUGGGAGACACUGCUGGGUCUCAUUCUGGGACCGAAGUGAAACUCCAAGCACAUUCCCUUUGCUAUCUAGGAGGCUCCUGCCUUCCCAGAGCUCUGUUGUUCAGCCCCAAACUCUGUUUACACUGGUGGGGGAGAAGGAGCUCGGGUAGGGGAAUUACUGGGCUGGUUAAAAGGACAGGGGCUUCUGGAGCCAAAGUGGGGACCUUUGAGGCUAGGUGGGGGUCACCUGCUGCUUCUGAGCUUGGAUUAGAGAGAGCUGUUACUCCAGCCACUGUCAGAAGGAGUGUGAGGGGAGGGACCCAGCCUCUCUCUUGUCUAAUUGAGGCCUCCAUGUAGGAAGUGUGAUUUUUGCUUUUGUGUCCCCCACCCCAUUACCACAGCUGCCUUUGUGUCUGUGUCAAUAAACAGCCAAACCCUGAGUCCUGA
rnacentral:lncRNA from 1 species